UACGUAGGGUGCGAGCGUUACUCGGAAUUACUGGGCGUAAAGCGUGCGCAGGCGGUUUUGUAAGUCAGAUGUGAAAUCCCCGGGCUUAACCUGGGAACUGCGUUUGAAACUACAAGGCUAGAGUGUGGCAGAGGGGGAUGGAAUUCCACGUGUAGCAGUGAAAUGCGUAGAGAUGUGGAGGAACACCGAUGGCGAAGGCAGCCCCCUGGGUUAACACUGACGCUCAGGCACGAAAGCGUGGGGAGCAAACAGG
rnacentral:rRNA from 1 species